UUGACAGGGAGAGAGAGAAAGCACAACAGCAGGAGCAAGAGGCAGCAGGAGAGGGAGAAGCAGGCUCCCCGUGGGGCACAGAGCCCGAUGCCAGAUCCAGAUCGGAUUGGAUCCCAGGACCCUGGGGUCAUGACCUGAGCCAAAGUAAGAGCGGGAUUGAAUGAUCCCAGUAUUUCCUGUGGGUACUCCCGAGCUCUGAGCUAAUAGAUGAUCUUCUAGCCUUUAGAUGAUCUUCUCAGGAUGCCAUCAUUGGCCUGGAACAUCCUCCAUUAAUCCAGAAUGUAGGAAAAAAUACACAUCAGUUUGGGAAAGGCUGGACAAGAGUUUCCUCAUUCAUCAUUCUAUUUCUGGAAACAUAAAAUAUCCCUCCAAACUUCAUUGUGGAGACAUUGAAAUGAGAAGAUCCAUUCACCAAGUGAUUUUCUUCUAGGCUCUGCGUUAUCUUAGAUCAGAAGACUUGGAUAGAUCUUGAUUAGCAGCACACUUCUUGUCCAGGAGCCCCAGGACAUCUCUAGCUCAAAUCGUAGCAUUUAAAAAGCGGUCGUGAAUCUGUCGAGGGAUACUGUCCCGUGGACACCUGCUAUAAAUCCGAGUCAGUGAUAUACUUUGGCAACGUUACUUUCCAAGUGUUUCUGUUUGAUAUAAUCAGGCCUGACCGCCAGCUUAUGUUUCUGUCAAGUCUAUUAGGUAUAAUUUUUAGUUGAUGUAAUUCUUUUAAAGCCAAAUCAGAGUGCUGUGCGGUAAA